rnacentral:sRNA from 1 species
CUGCUUAAAAUUGUACCCAAGGAAGAA